GACGAACGCUGGCGGCGUGCUUAACACAUGCAAGUCGAGCGGUAAGGCCCUUUCGGGGGUACACGAGCGGCGAAACGGGUGAGUAACACGUGGGUGACCCUGCCCUCAGCUCUGGGAUAAAGCCUGGGAAACUGGGUCUAAUACCGGAUAUGACUCCAUGACGCAUGUUGUGGGGUGGAAAGCCUUGUGCGGCUGAGGAUGGGCCCGCGGCCUAUCAGCUUGUUGGUGGGGNGAUGGCCUACCAAGGCGACGACGGUAGCCGGCCUGAGAGGCGACCGGCCACACUGGGACUGAGAC
rnacentral:rRNA from 1 species